AACGAACGUUGGCGGCGUGGAUUAGGCAUGCAAGUCGUACGCGAAAGAGGGAGCAAUCCCUUGAGUAAAAGUGGCGAACGGGUGAGUAACGCGUAGGAAACCUGCCUUCGAGAUGGGGAUAACACUCCUAACGGGUGCUAAUACCGAAUGACACUGCGGGAUCGCAUGGUUCUGCAGUCAAAGGUGGCCUCUGCUUGCAAGCUACCACUCGGAGAUGGUCCUGCGCCCAUUAGCUAGUUGGCGGGGUAACGCCACCAAGGCGACGAUGGGUAGCCGAUCUGAGAGGAUGACCGGCCACACUGGGACUGAGAUACGG
rnacentral:rRNA from 1 species